GCGCUCGGGGAACUCCCUGGCGAACGGGGUGAGCCCGGUGCCAUCGGGCAUGGCGGCGGUGAUGGCGACGAUCUUCUCGUUGUCGUGCGCG
rnacentral:tRNA from 1 species